AUGAGAGUGGCGCACGGGUGCGUAACGCGUGAGCAACCUACCCAUAUCAGGGGGAUAGCCUCUCGAAAGAGAGAUUAACACCGCAUAACAUCAUUAACCGGCAUCGGAUUAUGAUCAAAUAUUUAUAGGAUAUGGAUGGGCUCGCGUGACAUUAGCUAGUUGGAGAGGUAACGGCUCACCAAGGCUACGAUGUCUAGGGGCUCUGAGAGGAGAAUCCCCCACACUGGUACUGAGACACGGACCAGACUCCUACGGGAGGCAGCAGUAAGGAAUAUUGGUCAAUGGAGGCAACUCUGAACCAGCCAUGCCGCGUGCAGGAUGACUGCCCUAUGGGUUGUAAACUGCUUUUGUCAGGGAAUAAACCUUUCUACGUGUAGAAAGCUGAAUGUACCUGAAGAAUAAGGAUCGGCUAACUCCGUGCCAGCAGCCGCGGUAAUACGGAGGAUCCAAGCGUUAUCCGGAUUUAUUGGGUUUAAAGGGUGCGUAGGCGGUCCUAUAAGUCAGUGGUGAAAGACGGCAGCUUAACUGUCGCAGUGCCUUUGAUACUGUAGGACUUGAAUCUAUUUGAAGUGGGCGGAAUAAGACAAGUAGCGGUGAAAUGCAUAGAUAUGUCUUAGAACUCCGAUUGCGAAGGCAGCUCACUAAGUUAGUAUUGACGCUGAUGCACGAAAGCGUGGGGAUCAAACAGGAUUAGAUACCCUGGUAGUCCACGCCCUAAACGAUGAUAACUCGAUGUUUGCGAUACACAGUAAGCGUCCAAGCGAAAGCGUUAAGUUAUCCACCUGGGGAGUACGGUCGCAAGAUUGAAACUCAAAGGAAUUGACGGGGGCCCGCACAAGCGGAGGAGCAUGUGGUUUAAUUCGAUGAUACGCGAGGAACCUUACCCGGGCUUGAAAGUUAGUGAAUGAUCCAGAGACGGAUCAUUCCUUCCGGACACGAAACUAGGUGCUGCAUGG
rnacentral:rRNA from 1 species